rnacentral:rRNA from 1 species
UUUUAUGGAGAGUUUGAUCCUGGCUCAGGAUGAACGCUGGCGGCGUGCCUAAUACAUGCAAGUCGAGCGAACAGACGAGGAGCUUGCUCCUCUGACGUUAGCGGCGGACGGGUGAGUAACACGUGGAUAACCUACCUAUAAGACUGGGAUAACUUCGGGAAACCGGAGCUAAUACCGGAUAAUAUAUUGAACCGCAUGGUUCAAUAGUGAAAGACGGUUUUGCUGUCACUUAUAGAUGGAUCCGCGCCGCAUUAGCUAGUUGGUAAGGUAACGGCUUACCAAGGCAACGAUGCGUAGCCGACCUGAGAGGGUGAUCGGCCACACUGGAACUGAGACACGGUCCAGACUCCUACGGGAGGCAGCAGUAGGGAAUCUCCGCAAUGGCGAAAGCCUGACGGAGCGAACG